GAUGAACGCUAGCGGCAGGCCUAACACAUGCAAGUCGAGGGGUAGAAGGCUUCGGCCUUUGAGACCGGCGCACGGGUGCGUAACGCGUAUGCAAUCUGCCUUACACUGGGGGAUAGCCCAGAGAAAUUUGGAUUAAUACCCCAUAGUAUUUUUGCCUGGCAUCAGGUGAUUAUUAAAGUUUUUCGGUGUAAGAUGAGCAUGCGUCCCAUUAGCUAGUUGGUAUUGUAACGGCAUACCAAGGCAAUGAUGGGUAGGGGUCCUGAGAGGGAGAUCCCCCACACUGGUACUGAGACACGGACCAGACUCCUACGGGAGGCAGCAGUGAGGAAUAUUGGUCAAUGGGCGAGAGCCUGAACCAGCCAUGCCGCGUGCAGGAUGAAGCAUCUAUGGUGUGUAAACUGCUUUUGUACGGGAAGAAACACCUCUACGUGUAGAGGCUUGACGGUACCGUAAGAAUAAGGAUCGGCUAACUCCGUGCCAGCCGCCGCUGUAA
rnacentral:rRNA from 1 species